rnacentral:rRNA from 1 species
UGCCAGACUCCUACGGGAGGCAGCAGUGAGGAAUAUUGGUCAAUGGGCUUACGCCUGAACCAGCCAAGUCGCGUGAGGGAAGACUGCCCUAUGGGUUGUAAACCUCUUUUGUCAGGGAGCAACGCCGGCUACGUGUAGCCGGACUGAGAGUACCUGAAGAAAAAGCAUCGGCUAACUCCGUGCCAGCAGCCGCGGUAAUACGGAGGAUGCGAGCGUUAUCCGGAUUUAUUGGGUUUAAAGGGUGCGUAGGCGGAUUGUUAGGCCGGCGUUAACGGCCGGGUGCCCACCCCCGGCGAGCCGUUGAAACUGGCUGUCUUGAGAUGUCGAGAGGUAUGCGGAAUGCGCAGUGUAGCGGUGAAAUGCUUAGAUAUUGCGCAGAACUCCGAUUGCGAAGGCAGCAUACCGGCGGCGAUCUGACGCUGAGGCACGAAAGCGUGGGUAUCGAACAGGAUUAGAUACCCUUGUA